CCCACAACAAUGGGGUAACUAACACAUAGCUCGCCGGUGACAAAGUGAUAGUCGCACGGUUGAGUGGAGGAAUCGAUUUUCUGAAACUGGAAACGUACACGCAAGGUUGUCAGAUCGAUUGGGGAUUUACGUCUGCAUAAGGGCGAACCCACGCACGUACCGGUUCGGCAGGAAGCAUUAGUUAAUUUCAGCAAUCCGUCCACAGCGUUGCCAGCUCAACAUCACGCAUCCGAGAAGGAGCUUCGAUGUGUCCUGGAGUUUCACCAGCAGCGUCACCGGUGACAUGUUUGGAAGUGGCGAGCGGUACAGUCAUGACUGGCAGCCAGGGCCACACUUUUAAAGUAUUCCGGCUAGAUAGCCACCUAUUGCAGUUCACCCUAAACGGCUAUUGCGGUCCUAUCACAUGUAUUUUCAUAGACCAGUGGCAGGCCGAGAUGGGCGCAUCUGGUUACCAGGAUGGUGUGCUAUGUGUGUGGGACUUGAUACGGGGUGCCUGUAUGUGCAAAAUUGAAGCGACAAAAUUGACGACUCAAUCGUCGCACUUGCCUGUUCCCCGAGUUACGCAAUAUCGCUUGGACUGGACGAACGAAUACGGAUCUGGGAUAGAUUUCAGGGUCGUAUGGGACGACAAUACUGGAGAUGUAGCUCGGGAAGUCAGGCUUGACUGUUCCAAUUCACAGCUAAAUCCGAAGAUUAUGCUACCUGCCAGUGGUUCGGUAAUUUGUGACUACGGAAAUCGAAUGAGAAUCGUUCGUUUCCCACUUGUGGCGGCGGAAAAGUUGUUCGGUCCGGGGAAUCGUAAUCGGCCAGCUGUACAGCUGCAGCCUCCGAACGAAGCCAUUGCUAGCACGAGUCUUUGAUUUGGAAGGAUAGUUGCUGAGGACCAUUCUCACAAUAAGUUGAUAAUAUCCAUUACAUGAUCAAAUGCGCUGAUGGGUAUGAAUAUGCAUGUGUACGGUUUGGUAACCAGUACAAUUUACACCUUUCUAUGCAGUGCACGGCCACCAAUGAUUCUUCCAUAAAUUUAGACAUUGUGCCGAACAAGAGUAAAUUCGCGUAUAUAAAAUAUAUAGGAGGCCCUAUUUUCACAGUCACGUCACUUAGUGACUAGAAGGAAAUUUUCUUCUAGUCACUAGGUGACGUGACUGUGAGAAUAGGGGCUUGGAGCAUAUCGCUGUCUGUGCACGGAACUGAACAUGUUUAAAUUUUUGGCUCACGCGCAUUUAAACGAUCGCUUAGCCUAUGUGUCCGCAUGUGACCGGUGGGGUAGCGUUGAGGGAUUUUGUCGCCGCUCACGGUACAUUUCUAUUUCUUCUCACUAAUGUGUAAGUACAUUUGCUGCACCCGCUUCUAGUGAAUACAUUUGAGCAGAUAUCACAAAUAGAUCCGAAAAAGUUAUUUCUUCGGGAGAAACGCUUCUCACAUAUCUCGAAUUCCCGAAGUCCUGGUGAAAUUAUGGUUGAUAUAACAAAUUCUGCCUGUUUCCCAGCAUUCUGCUUGAUAUAUUCCUGUCUAUGAUAGGCUACUAGUAUAUUCCGUCUGAAAAUAUCUAAAUCGUUAGCAAAGAAACACUUGACAUUAGUGACGAUAGUCACCCGUAUGAACGUUUGCAGAUAGGCUAAAAUGUUGUAGAUAAAAGCUUUGUCGCAU